UACAGAGGUCCCAAGCGUUGUUCGGAUUCAUUGGGCGUAAAGAGCGUGUAGGCGGCUUGGUAGGUCCGCUGUGAAAACUCGAGGCUCAACCUCGAGAUGUCGGCGGAAACCACUUGGCUAGAGUCCGGAAGAGGAGAGUGGAAUUCCUGGUGUAGCGGUGAAAUGCGCAGAUAUCAGGAAGAACACCCGUGGCGAAGGCGGCUCUCUGGGACGGUACUGACGCUGAGACACGAAGGCCAGGGGAGCAAACGGG
rnacentral:rRNA from 1 species